rfam:Acanthamoeba castellanii str. Neff unplaced genomic scaffold scf7180000084686, whole genome shotgun sequence.
GGCGCUGUAGUUAAGAGGUAGAAUUCCUGCUUUGGGUGCAGGGGGCCCCGGUUCGAUUCCGGGCAGCGCCC